AACUUAAAGGAAUUGACGGAAUGGCACCACAAG
rnacentral:rRNA from 1 species